rnacentral:lncRNA from 1 species
CAGGACAGAGCAGAGCGUGAGCGAAGGCUCUACUCAGACCUUUAUAGGCUCUGUGGUGCGGGGUGGGGGGCCACCCCGAAACGUGGUGUUGUCACCUGAAUCGGGCACUCUGAUUGGCCCCGACCCCCUGCGUGGCCCGGCUGCAAUGGCCGGAAACAGCAACGUUCCAUUUACGGCAAGGUGACCCCGAGCUGUAAAAAUGUCCCGCUCCGACCUCACGACAGGACACAAAUCACCCACACCGAACUCCGCCCCAUGAAUUACCCUGCAAGAACCCCCAAGCUGCGCCCUGAUGACCAACCGAGUGUGGAGUCGGUCCCGCAUGUCCGCCCGGGUGCCCUGACCAGCGCUGGUCAAUGUGCCUGCUCCGUGUGCGCCAACAUGGCCUGAGCUGUACAACAUGCCUCCGCCCAAUCGCAGCUUCGCUGGCCAUAGAGGCGAGAAGAAUUGGAGAAAAACAUGGAUUUUCCUGAAGUACUGGCAGAUCAGAAGCAAGAAAACUGUGGUGAUGAAGAUGAAGGAAUAUAUGAAAAUUUGGAGGAAUACAUAAGAUACGAUGAUGUUGUGGGGACACAUGGAGUAUCAGAGAGAAUGAACACUGAGAAAUUUGACAAAAACCCAUUGAAGGAAAAAAGUCAUUCCAAAAGUGGUUUAGACAUUGAAAAAAAGAACAAUGCAUCUGGUGGUUGCAAAAGUGGAGAAAACGGAGUCUCUGCUCCUAAAAAGAACAUAAAGACACUGUUGUUUGAUUUCUUCAAAAUUGAAUCGGCGAACUGCAACAUGAGCUGUAACCACGAUGUUCCACUUGUAAGAAAAUAUUCGGAUUGUACCGAGAAUAUGAACAAGCAGAUGCUGCUUGUGGAAGAUGACUCAGAUGACUGGAGGAACGCAUGCUCUGUGUUCAAACCCUGCCAUGAAGCGCAGAAAAAGAUGGAUUUGCACCAAGUGCUGGCAAAUGAGAAACAAAGAUAUUGUGAUGAUGUAGGGGAAGAAACUUUGAAAAACGUUGAGGAAAACAUGUAUGAUGAUGUUGAAGUUAGUGUUGAGACAAAAUGGGCGAUGAAAGAUCAUUCACAAAGCCCUCAGUGCAUCAAACAAAGUAGUUCAUGUUUUCGAGAAAUACCGACUGAAGCAAAGGAAAAGGAGCCAAAGGUAUGUAACAUUGUAAAUCAACAUCUCAUAGUGUGUGCUUUUGUGACGUCUCAAACCUCUGGCUGCCCAAAUGCUCACAACGGCCUGUCGGGGCAGCCAAAGGGGUUCGUGACAUCACAAAAGUGAGGCUAAAUGAUAAGUUUUCCAAAAAUUAUAAUUUAGCCUCACAAGAAUAUUACAAAAAAAAUAGCAUCCAUUAACCUUUAGAGGCAGCAUUUUUGACAGCUGCACCUAAAUCGGAAUUUUAUUCAUUCAAAAUGAAACGUUGGAUUUUUCUAUUAACAGAUAUUCUGUUUCAUAAAAUAUAAUUGUACUUUUGGCAAAGAUGUGCAAAGUAUGUCAUAAACUUAAUUCUGAUACCAAUGUGUGACAAUGUAUUGCCAAUGUGGUGUGAUAUUAGCAAGUGUUUUUUAACGGGUGUCAUUAUCAAUUUGAGAGAAUGUAAUCAGGUGCCCCAUCUGUUUUCAAAGAUCAUGUUGUAUUCUAUUUAUUUUAUUUUUGGUAAAGGUAGACAUCUAAUCAAUGCAACAGGGAAAUGGAAGCUAAU